AUCCAGCUGACGAGUCCCAAAUAGAGUGAGACAAGCGUACUGGAU
rnacentral:hammerhead_ribozyme from 1 species